rnacentral:rRNA from 1 species
GAGUUUGAUCAUGGCUCAGGACGAACGCUGGCGGCGUGCCUAAUACAUGCAAGUCGAGCGAGGGUUUUUAAGACCCUAGCGGCGGACGGGUGAGUAACACGUAGGCAACCUGCCUCUCAGACCGGGAUAACAUAGGGAAACUUAUGCUAAUACCGGAUAGGUUUUUGGAUUGCAUGAUCCGAAAAGAAAGGAUGGCUUUUCGCUAUCACUGGGAGAUGGGCCUGACGGCGCAUUAGCUAGUUGCGGGUAACGCUACCAAGGCGACGAUGCGUAGCCGACCUGAGAGGGUGACCGGCCACACUGGGACUGAGACACGGCCCA